UAUUUCGUUCCCUGACGGUAACCAAAUCUAGAUGUAGGAAUUUGUUGAGCAGGAGAGUGACACAUGUCUUCCCGAAGGCUGUCCAGGCUGCAGUGGUGAUGAAGAAGACACGAUCAUCACCCCGAGAUCGAUUGUAGCGAAUUGGAAAACUCAUGGUGAAUUUGCUUCCACCCCAAGGCAAUGUCGAGGUAUGAAGGGUGCUUGUACUGCCUUCCAAAGUGAAGAGGAGAUGAACAUGGCUGUAGUUGUAUGCCAACUUACCUACUCUUGCUGGUACCGUAGUGCUAUAUUGCGAAUUUCGUGGACGAACAACUCUCUAGUCACAAGUGGCUAGUGAGCAACACUAACAGAGCCUUGACGUUGCUGGACGAGCGACAAUAUAAAUUACAUAAACAUGUAGCUCAUGAUGUGGAAUGACUGCCGUAUCGCAUUGCCAACGCAAACCCAUCCUGUGUCAGUGCAGCCAUCCAGCAACUCCCCGGACCAGAUGCCGCUGCAGCUGAACACCAUGCCGAUGGAAAGCCAGAAGUAGAUAGCAAAGCAUUCUGGUCUGCACAGUACAAGGCAAAGAACAAUUAUGAAUUAUAACGCAUUGUAAUCCUUCCCACACUUCUUUGUAAAAACAAACAAACAGUGCCAUUAUCACAACACUUGAUCAAGCAUCUUGAUGGAGGUAUUUUCCAUUGUGCUGGCCCCGCAUCUGCACCAGGAAGACCAUGUACACUUA